CAAAAAAUAGUUUAAUUUAAAAUACUGGUUUUGGGGACCAGUGAUGGAAGCGGUGCUUCUUUUUUUGA
rnacentral:tRNA from 1 species